GGUGAGUAAUGUCUGGGAAACUGCCCGAUGGAGGGGGAUAACUACUGGAAACGGUAGCUAAUACCGCAUAACGUCGCAAGACCAAAGAGGGGGACCUUCGGGCCUCUUGCCAUCGGAUGUGCCCAGAUGGGAUUAGCUAGUAGGUGGGGUAACGGCUCACCUAGGCGACGAUCCCUAGCUGGUCUGAGAGGAUGACCAGCCACACUGGAACUGAGACACGGUCCAGACUCCUACGGGAGGCAGCAGUGGGGAAUAUUGCACAAUGGGCGCAAGCCUGAUGCAGCCAUGCCGCGUGUAUGAAGAAGGCCUUCGGGUUGUAAAGUACUUUCAGCGAGGAGGAAGGCGUUGUGGUUAAUAACCGCAACGAUUGACGUUACUCGCGGAAGAAGCACCGGCUAACUCCGUGCCAGCAGCCGCGGUAAUACGGAGGGUGCAAGCGUUAAUCGGAAUUACUGGGCGUAAGGCGCACGCAGGCGGUCUGUCAAGUCGGAUGUGAAAUCCCCGGGCUCAACCUGGGAACUGCAUCCGAAACUGGCAGGCUAGAGUCUUGUAAAGGGGGGUAGAAUUCCAGGUGUAGCGGUG
rnacentral:rRNA from 1 species